rnacentral:rRNA from 1 species
AUUGAACGCUGGCGGCAUGCCUUACACAUGCAAGUCGAACGGUAACAGGUCUUCGGAUGCUGACGAGUGGCGAACGGGUGAGUAAUACAUCGGAACGUGCCUAGUAGUGGGGGAUAACUACUCGAAAGGGUGGCUAAUACCGCAUGAGAUCUACGGAUGAAAGCAGGGGAUCGCAAGACCUUGUGCUACUAGAGCGGCCGGUGGCAGAUUAGGUAGUUGGUGGGAUAAAAGCUUACCAAGCCGACGAUCUGUAGCUGGUCUGAGAGGACGAUCAGCCACACUGGGACUGAGACACGGGCCAGACUCCUACGGGAGGCAGCAGUGGGGAAUUUUGGACAAUGGGCGCAAGCCUGAUCCAGCAAUGCCGCGUGCAGGAUGAAGGCCUUCGGGUUGUAAACUGCUUUUGUACGGAACGAAAAGCCCCGGGUUAAUACCCUGGGGUCAUGACGGUACCGUAAGAAUAAGCACCGGCUAACUACGUGCCAGCCGCCGCAGUAA